ACCCUGUAGACCUGGGUUUGUGU
rnacentral:miRNA from 10 species